rnacentral:rRNA from 1 species
AUUGAACGCUGGCGGCAUGAUUUACACAUGCAAGUCGAACGGUAACAGGCCGCAAGGUGCUGACGAGUGGCGAACGGGUGAGUAAUGCAUCGGAACGUGCCCAGUCGUGGGGGAUAACUACUCGAAAGAGUAGCUAAUACCGCAUACGAUCUAUGGAUGAAAGCGGGGGACCGUAAGGCCUCGCGCGAUUGGAGCGGCCGAUGUCAGAUUAGGUAGUUGGUGGGGUAAAGGCUCACCAAGCCAACGAUCUGUAGCUGGUCUGAGAGGACGACCAGCCACACUGGGACUGAGACACGGCCCAGACUCCUACGGGAGGCAGCAGUGGGGAAUUUUGGACAAUGGGCGCAAGCCUGAUCCAGCAAUGCCGCGUGCAGGAAGAAGGCCUUCGGGUUGUAAACUGCGUUUGUACGGAACGAAACGGCUCUGGUUAAUACCCGGGGCUAAUGACGGUACCGUAAGAAUAAGCACCGGCUAACUACGUGC